AACGAACGCUGGCGGCAGGCCUAACACAUGCAAGUCGAACGCGUGUAGCAAUACACGAGUGGCGCACGGGUGAGUAAUGCGUGGGUAUCUGCCCUUCGGUACGGAAUAACGACGGGAAAC
rnacentral:rRNA from 1 species